GUUUUCCCAUAAGGAUGUUUACCAAAAGGGUGGUUCCUAGUUAGCCAAAGGUGACGGUGUUUUGGUUAAAUGACCAAUUAGGUCCACCUGUAGUGAACUAGGGUAUAAAAAGGGAGAGAAUCAAAUAAAUGGGGCUUUUGCUAUUUGCCUUCUGAUAUGAGUGUGUGUCGUCUCUGAGUCAACGAUGACAAGAACUGAGAUUCCUACCUGGAUAUUCUGCAACAGUGAGUGAAACAUUUUGUUGCAAAGUGAAUGGGACUUCUAUCAAACCCAAGUCAAUGCAUUACCUUAAUCUUCACAGAAACUCGCUGUGCAAUUCCUCAGCAGCCAGGAAAAACAUACCCAAGUGCACUGCUUAUGCACUUACACUUCCCUGAUCACCAGCUGGACAAAAGCUAUAUCUAUAGCAGAAACCUUUAUUUUAUCCUUGUAUUGAAAGUGUUUGCUGAAGGCAGAGGCUCCACUUUGGUUGGUUGAUUUUUCCUGGCAUACAAUAGUAGCCAAUUGGAAGAACUGCAGUUCACAUUCAAAAAACUCUUCUGGAAUGAACUUUGCAAAACCUAUCAACUUUGGAUUUUAGUGGUUUGGGGUUUUUUUGUUUCAUUACUUACUCAUUUUUAUUGUUUAUGUGUAUGUUGAGCCAAGUGAUAUAGAUCCACAUUUCAUAGAAAGUAGGCAAAAAUGAAAAGUUUAAUAAAAAAACCUGAAAAAACCAACAAUGCUGUAGAACCAUUAAUGUUGGAAAAGACUUCUAACAAUAAUGAAUCCAGCCAUUAGCCUACCAGGGAAGGUUUAGAUUGGAUGCUAGGAAAAAAUUCUUCACUGAAAGUGUGAUCAAACAUUGGAACAACCUGCCCAGGGAAAUGGUUGAAUCACUGUCCCUGGGAGAGUUCAAAAAAUGUGUGGAUAUGGCACUUAGGGACAUGGUUUAGUGAUGGUGUUGGCAGUAUUAGGCUACAGGUUGAGCUCCGUGAUCUGAGAGGUCUUUUCUGCUGGAAAAAAAAGAAAAACAUACACAUGAGAUCUUCAGAUAAAAUUAAAUCUGUUUUGAGGACAAAAUAUCUGUAGAAAAAAUGGAGCAGUACCUUUGGAGAAAUCGAGUUCUUUAUCAUGAUUUCAGUUUUUUUUUUUACACUGCUACAAAGGUGGUUUUGAAAAAUAUCAUGGUACGGGCUAUAAAGAUCACUUUCUGUUGGCAGUUCAUAAACUGGGAACAGAAGAGGCAGUUCAUAGGUUACUAGAGAUUUGAGAUGUAAACAGUAUUUGGAAGAUGAAAAGCAUGAGCUGCUUCGUCAAAUGGCAGCAGACAAAGUGUGUAUACGAAUAGAAAAGGAAGCUCUCUGCAAUGACUGUAUCAAAAUUAAUAUUCACUGAAAGAGACAGGAGUUGUGGGCUAAAAUGUUAUCUAAUUUUGUAUGCAAAGACUGUAUCAAAUUGUAUUUGCACAGGCAGGAAGAUCGAGAAUGCUGUCAUCCUUAAUUCUGAAAUCCCUAACUUUCGAACUUUGACAUUCUUUUAACAUAAUUUUUCAAUAUAGUGUGUAAUGUAUAAUGCAUAUAUGCAGAAAAGGCAGUUCUGGCAGUAACAUGUUCUCAUUUUAUCUGUUGCUAGCUAUUUCUUUUCUCAGAAAACUAAUCAAACCCAAAAGCUUUUCAUAAUUCACAUCAGAAGGGAAUUGACUUUCUUCUAUCAGUCUUAAUUUCUUUCUUUUUGUUACUAUUAAAACAGUUAUCUGUGCCAGCUAA